rnacentral:rRNA from 1 species
GACGAACGCUGGCGGCGUGCUUAACACAUGCAAGUCGAACGGAAAGGCCCUGCUUUUGUGGGGUGCUCGAGUGGCGAACGGGUGAGUAACACGUGAGUAACCUGCCCUUGACUUUGGGAUAACUUCAGGAAACUGGGGCUAAUACCGGAUAGGAGCUCCUGCUGCAUGGUGGGGGUUGGAAAGUUUCGGCGGUUGGGGAUGGACUCGCGGCUUAUCAGCUUGUUGGUGGGGUAGUGGCUUACCAAGGCUUUGACGGGUAGCCGGCCUGAGAGGGUGACCGGCCACAUUGGGACUGAGAUGCGGCCCAGACUCCUACGGGAGGCAGCAGUGGGGAAUAUUGCACAAUGGGCGGAAGCCUGAUGCAGCAACGCCGCGUGCGGGAUGACGGCCUUCGGGUUGGAAACCGCUUUCGCCUGUGACGAAGCGUGAGUGACGGUAAUGGGUAAAGAAGCACCGGCUAACUACGUG